rnacentral:rRNA from 1 species
UACGUAGGGGGCUAGCGUUGUCCGGAAUCAUUGGGCGUAAAGCGCGUGUAGGCGGUUCGGUAAGUCCGCUGUGAAAGUCGGGGGCUCAACCCUCGGAAGCCGGUGGAUACUGUCGAGCUAGAGUACGGAAGAGGCGAGUGGAAUUCCUGGUGUAGCGGUGAAAUGCGCAGAUAUCAGGAGGAACACCUGCGGCGAAGGCGGGUUGCUGGGCCGACACUGACGCUGAUGCGCGAAAGCCAGGGGAGCGAACGGG